rnacentral:rRNA from 1 species
GGGUGAGUAACGCGUGAGUAACCUGCCCUGGAGUGGGGGACAACAGUUGGAAACGACUGCUAAUACCGCAUAAGCCCACGAUCCGGCAUCGGAUUGAGGGAAAAGGAUUUAUUCGCUUCAGGAUGGACUCGCGUCCAAUUAGCUAGUUGGUGAGGUAACGGCCCACCAAGGCGACGAUUGGUAGCCGGACUGAGAGGUUGAACGGCCACAUUGGGACUGAGACACGGCCCAGACUCCUACGGGAGGCAGCAGUGGGGGAUAUUGCACAAUGGGGGAAACCCUGAUGCAGCGACGCCGCGUGGAGGAAGAAGGUUUUCGGAUUGUAAACUCCUGUCGUUAGGGACGAUAAUGACGGUACCUAACAAGAAAGCACCGGCUAACUACGUGCCAGCAGCCGCGGUAAAGCGUAGGGUGCAAGCGUUGUCCGGAAUUACUGGGUGUAAAGGGAGCGCAGGCGGACCGGCAAGUUGGAAGUGAAAACUAUGGGCUCAACCCAUAAAUUGCUUUCAAAACUGCUGGCCUUGAGUAGUGCAGAGGUAGGUGGAAUUCCCGGUGUAGCGGUGGAAUGCGUAGAUAUCGGGAGGAACACCAGUGGCGAAGGCGACCUACUGGGCACCAACUGACGCUGAGGCUCGAAAGCAUGGGUAGCAAACAGGAUUAGAUACCCUGGUAGUCCAUGCCGUAAACGAUGAUUACUAGGUGUUGGAGGAUUGACCCCUUCAGUGCCGCAG